rnacentral:rRNA from 1 species
CCUACGGGUGGCAGCAGUGAGGAAUAUUGGUCAAUGGACGAGAGUCUGAACCAGCCAAGUAGCGUGAAGGAUGACUGCCCUAUGGGUUGUAAACUUCUUUUAUCUGGGAAUAAAACAUGGUAUGCAUACCCUCUUGUAUGUACCAUAUGAAUAAGCAUCGGCUAACUCCGUGCCAGCAGCCGCGGUAAUACGGAGGAUCCGAGCGUUAUCCGGAUUUAUUGGGUUUAAAGGGUGCGUAGGUGGUUUGUUAAGUCAGUUGUGAAAGUUGGCGGCUCAACCGUAAAAUUGCAGUUGAAACUGGGGGGCUUGAGGAUGUUGGGGGCAGGCGGAAUGCGUGGGGUAGCGGUGAAAUGCUUA